rnacentral:misc_RNA from 1 species
GAUGAAGAACGCAGCGAAAUGCGAUAAGUAAUGUGAAUUGCAGAAUUCAGUGAAUCAUCGAAUCUUUGAACGCACAUUGCGCCCGCCAGUAUUCUGGCGGGCAUGCCUGUUCGAGCGUCAUUUCAACCAUCAAGCCCCCGGGCUUGUGUUGGGGACCUGCGGCUGCCGCAGGCCCUGAAAAGCAGUGGCGGGCGCGCUGUCACACCGAGCGUAGUAGCAUACAUCUCGCUCUGGGCGUGCUGCGGGUUCCGGCCGUUAAACCACCUUUUAACCCAAGGUUGACCUCGGAUCAGGUAGGAAGACCCGCUGAACUUAAGCAUAUCAAUAAGCGGAGGA